AUUGAACGCUAGCGGCAGGCCUAACACAUGCAAGUCGAACGAGUGGCGGCCGGGUGAGUAAUGUCUGGGAAACUGACCGAUGGAGGGGGAUAACUACUGGAAACGGUAGCUAAUACCGCAUACCAUCGGAUGUGCACAGAUGGGAGUGGCUCGUUGGUGGGGUAACGGCUCACCAAGUCGACGAUCCCUAGCUGGUCUGAGAGGAUGACCAUGCACACUGGAACUGAGCCACGGUCCCGACUCCAACGUGAGGCAGCAGUGGUGAAUAUUGCCCAAUGGGCGCAAGCCUGAUUCAGCCAUGCCGCGUGUAUGAAGAAGGCCUUCGGGUUGUAAAGUACUUGAAGCGGGGAGGCGUUACUCGCAGAAGAAGCACCGGCUAACUCCGUGCCAGCAGCCGCGGUAAUAC
rnacentral:rRNA from 1 species